rnacentral:rRNA from 1 species
AUUGAACGCUGGCGGCAUGCUUUACACAUGCAAGUCGAACGGUAACAUGCCGCAAGGUGCCGACGAGGGGCGAACGGGGGCGUAAUGCAUCGUAACGUGCCCAGUCGUUGUGGAUAACUGCUCGUAAGAGUAGCUAAUAUCUCAUACGACCUAAUUCUGAAAGCUGGGGACCGUAAGGCCUAGCGCGAGUGGAUGGGCCGGUGUCAGACUAGCUAGGUGGUGGGGGAUAGCCCGACCAAGCCGACGAUCUGUAGCUGGGCUGAGAGGACAACCAGCCACACUGGGAGUGAGACACAGCCCAGACUCCUACACGAGGCAGCAGUGGGUAAUAUUGGACAAUGGGCGAAAGCCUGAACCACCAAUGCCGCGUGAGUGAUGAAGGCCUUAGAGUAGUAAAGCGCGUUGACCCGGGAUGAUAAUGACAGUACCGGAAGAAUAAGCUCCGGCUAACUCCGUG